rnacentral:rRNA from 1 species
CAGUCGCCGCGGUAAUACAGAGGAUGCAAGCGUUAUCCGGAAUGAUUGGGCGUAAGGCGUCUGUAGGUGGCUUUUCAAGUCCGCCGUCAAAUCCCAGGGCUCAACCCUGGACAGGCGGUGGAAACUACCAAGCUGGAGUACGGUAGGGGUAGAGGGAAUUUCCAGUGGAGCGGUGAAAUGCGUUGAGAUCGAAAAGAACACCAACAGCGAAAGCACUCUGCUGGGACGACACUGACACUAAGAGACGAAAGCUAGGGGAGCAAAUGGGAUUAGAUACCCCCGUAGUCCCUGUCUCUUAUAC